rnacentral:rRNA from 1 species
CCUACGGGUGGCAGCAGUGGGGAAUAUUGCACAAUGGGCGAAAGCCUGAUGCAGCAACGCCGCGUGAGCGAUGAAGGUCUUCGGGUCGUAAAGCUCUGUCCUCAAGGAAGAUAAUGACGGUACGUGAGGAGGAAGCCCCGGCAAACUACGGGCCAGAAGCUGCGGUAAUACGUAGGGGGCUAGCGUUAUCCGGAAUUACUGGGCGUAAAGGGGGGGUAGGUGGUUUCUUAAGUCAGAGGUGAAAGUGUACGGCUCAACCGUAGUAAGCCUUUGAAACUGGGGGACUUGAGUGCAGGAGAGGAGAGUGGAAUUCCAAGUGUAGCGGUGAAAUGCGUAGAUAUUGGGAAGAAAACCAGUUGCGAAGGCGGCUCGCUGGACUGUAACUGACGCUGAGGCACGAAAGCGUGGGGAGCAAACAGGAUUAGAUACCCGGGUAGUC